CUGUGUGGUGGCAGGGAGGUGGCAAUGUGAAGGGUUGUUUCCUCUGCAUGAUGCUACAACUGAUUGAGUUGGAAAAAGGCUGGGAAAAGCCUUUAAAUGGAAAUCUCAGACACGGACCUUGUUUUUCCUGCCAGAAGUAGAGACUUUGUUGUUGUGAAUGUUGAAGCUGUGGUGAGCCUAGAUGUCAUAAUCACCUCUCCCUGGUAGUGAGCCAGCAGUUAGAGAGGAGGGACCUGUUGAAAGGCUGUGGGGAUGUAGGGCAUAGUUGCGAGCCCCACUCACUGUCACUGUCUUCUCUUCAAUUGUGGGCUUUUGAAGACUAGUCCUCUCUUUUGGGUCCUGGAAACUGAGAUGCUGUGCAGUAUAAUUCCUAAUAUUAAUUUCAUGUCAAGGGAAAACAACCUAGCUGCUGCUCUCCAAAGCCCCUCUGAGUCAAAGAAACAGCUUGAUGCUGAUGGAUGGUGACUUGCAUGGCCUGACCCCCGCCCAUGGUCCGACUUUCCUCCAGCUGAGGGAAACUCUCACUUCCAAUUGGAAGUGUUGGUGUAGUCUCUGGUUCGGUUGUUAAUUCAUAAUUAAAAUUCCUAGUUGGUCA